rnacentral:rRNA from 1 species
AACGAACGCUGGCGGCAUGCCUAACACAUGCAAGUCGAACGAGACCUUCGGGUCUAGUGCCGCACGGGUGCGUAACGCGGGGGAACCUGCCCGUAGGGUCGGAAUAACUCCCCGAAAGGGGUGCUAAGACCGGAUAAUGGCUUCGAACCAAAGAUUUAACGCCUUUGGAUGGGCCCGCGUGGGAUUCGCUGGUUGGUAGGGUAAAAGGCUCCCAAGGCGAGGAUCCGUAGCGGGUCAGAGAGGAAGAUCAGCCACACUGGGACUAAGACACGGCCCAGACUCCUCCGGGAGGCAGGAGUGUGGGAUAUUGGACCACCGCCGGAGGCCUGAUCCAGCUCUGCCGCGAGAGUGCUGUUGGCCUUAGGGUUGUAAAGCUCUUUUACCCGGGAGGAUACUGACAGUACCGGGCGAAUAAGCUCCGGCUAACUCCGUG